UUGUAGUUUACUGAUUUGAGAAAACCUGCACAUGAUACUUGUCCUGUUGAUGCUGAAUGCUUUAUUACUCUUAUGAUACAAUUAGGGCUGAACAAUAUAGCGCAUUUGCGAUAAUAUCGCGAUAUGAUCAAGUGCAAUUUUCUAACCGCAAAGGCUGCGAUUAUACUCUGUUUACGUGACAUGCGCGAGUAAAACAUGUGAUAUGAUCAAACGAGAUUGUCUAACCACAGAGGCUGCACUCUGGUCACGUGACACGGGGAGCAAAGUUUUGAAACAGUCUACCGAGAGUGAACUAGCAAGCAAAGCUGUAGCCUACACAAUGGCCUCAGGUUCAACAGAACCAGAGCCUGCGGGGAUGCUAGUACCAAAGAGGAACUGCACAUCAGCCGUGUGGGAAUAUUUUGGGUUUAAAAGAGAUGAUGUCGCACAGAGUCAGGUACUGUGUAAAACCUGUCUUGGUAGAGUUUCUACAUCUCGGGGAAACACUACGAAUUUGUACCAGCACCUUAAGACUCAGCACAAAACAGAGUAUGAUAGAUGUAUGGCUAAAAAAUCUAGUAGUGUGCAGAAUAAACCUAGUAACGUUACUCGGCAAGGAUCACUGACCGAACUGUUUGAAGGUGUUACGCCAUAUGAACGCACUUCAAAACGGCACGUGGAAAUCACCAAAGCAGUAACGCACUGCAUCGCGAAAGACAUGAUGCCCGUCAAUACGGUGACCAAGCCUGGGUUCAAUAAUUUGGUAACUACACUGGAUAAGAGGUACAGAAUGCCCUCCCGCACGUAUUUCAGUCAGACUGCAAUACCCGAGCUACAUAUGCAAUGUAGGCGGAGGGUUGCAGCGGAGUUAAAGGCUGUUGAGUUUUUUGCGGCGACAACAGACAUGUGGUCAAGCCGUACAGCAGAGCCCUAUCAAAGUCUGACGGUGCAUUACAUUACCGAAGACCUCCACCUCGAAGCUCGCAGCCUACAAACGGCCUACUUCCCCGAAGACCACACAGGGGAAAACAUUGCUGCUGGCCUGAGAGAGGGGCUUGCGUGUUGGGAUCUCCCUGAAGACAACCUUGUCUGCAUAACGACGGACAACGCGUCAAAUAUGGUGAAAGCAGCACAGCUGAACGAAUGGACCAGGCUCCAGUGUUUCGGACACAGAUUACAUCUUGCUAUUGGUAAGUUACUGCCGUGAGAGAGAGAGAGUGUGUGUGUGUGUGUGUGUGUGUGUGUGUGUGUGUAUGCGCGAGCCUGUGUAUCACUCUCUCCCACAAACACACCACACUAUUAUUUAUCUUGUUCUUUACUGCUGUUAAUUCUAGAUAUGUUAUGUCAACCCCACACUGAUGUACCCACCUCUUCUUAUGUAUUUUCUUUUUUGUUUUUGUCUUAUGGUCUUAUGUUCUUGUAUGUCAUGAUGUAUGUAACAACAAGCUUCCUGAGCACUCUCUCAUUACUGAGUGCCCUACAAGAUGGGGGUCCAAAGAGAAAAUGAUUGCCAGAGUGCUGGAACAGAUGAAAGCCAUAUCGCAGGUAUUGACAGGUGACCGACAUGCACGCUCCCUCAUCCCAACCUGGCAGGAUGCUGAAGUGUUGGAGUCCAUUCAUAAGGCACUGCAUCUUCUCUCCGAAUUUACUGAUGCUCUUUCUGGAGAAGAGUAUGUGAGCAUCUCCUACCUCAAGCCAGUUCUCCAUCUUCUGGCAACAUCAGUCUUGGCUGAAGAUGCUGAGGACACUGAUCUGACUAGAUCAAUUAAAACCAAGGUCCUGGCAUACCUCAACGACAAGUAUAGUGACCUCAACACCCAGGAGCUUUUGGAUGUUGCGUCGUUCAUGGACCCUAGGUUCAAAACGCAAUACAUCAGCGCAGACAACCUUCCUGCCAUUAAGGCCCGACUGAAGACAGAAAUGGUGGAAUCGGCUAGACGUACACAUAAUCAGGAGAAGAGGUCUCGCACUGAAACUGCUCAAAAUUCUCCAAGUGCACAGGCCUCUGGGGGAAAGGCAAAGAAGACUCUUGGUAGUCUUUUUAAAACCAGUGCGGCCUCUUCAGCUUUGCCUCUGCCACUUGAAGAUGUCGUGGAGGCAGAGUUGAAUAGUUACCUGUUGACCCCUGUCAUUGACGGAGAGGAUGAUCCCUUAGCCUGGUGGAAGGUGCACAACAUUCACUUUCCACGACUGUGCAAGAUGGCCCGCAAAUAUCUGUGUGUGCCAGCCACAAGUGCCCCCUCAGAGCGUCUGUUCAGCACUGGAGGGAAUAUAGUGACCUGCACUCGCUCAUCCUUAAAGCCAGCAAAAGUAGAUAUGCUGGUCUUCCUAGCAAAAAACCUGUGAGCUAGGAUGAUUAUGGCUAGCUGAGCCAUACUCAUUGUGCACUUUAGUUUGUGCUGUGUUGCUGUUACUUACUGCAGAUAAUCAAGAUGUUCAGCCAGUUUUAAUUUAAAGGCGUGUUUGUGUGUGUGUUUAUACAAUUGCUAUUAUGUUUGCACUUUAUGUGUAAUGUUACUGACUGCAGAGAUCAGUAAGAUGUGUGUAUUUUUUAUUUAUUAGUUUUAUUUAUUUAAUAUUAUUUUUUAAUUUAAUGACUGUCUAGUAGUUCACAGAUGUCGAAAAACUGAGUGUGGUAAAGCCACUGAUUUUUUUAUGUAUAUUUCUGCAAUCUGCACAUUGUACUGACUUUCAUUUUAAUGUUUACACCAGGGUUCCUUGUCAGCACUUUAUGCUCAGAUGUUUGUAAGCUAAAAAUAAACUAUUGUGUAUGUUCAAAUAUACUGUUGUGAUUGAAGAAGUUAAAUAAAAAUGUCAGUCAUCAA